CGGAGGGUGCAAGCGUUAUCCGGAUUCACUGGGUUUAAAGGGUGCGUAGGAGGGCAGGUAAGUCAGUGGUGAAAUCCUAGAGCUUAACUCUAGAACUGCCGUUGAUACUAUCUGUCUUGAAUACCGUUGAGGUGAGCGGAAUAUGUCAUGUAGCGGUGAAAUGCUUAGAUAUGACAUAGAACACCAAUUGCGAAGGCAGCUCGCUAAACGAAUAUUGACUCUGAGGCACGAAAGCGUGGGGAUCAAACAGGAUUAGAUACCCUGGUAGUCCACGCCCUAAACGAUGGAUACUCGACAUACGUGAUAUGACAAUGUGUGUCUGAGCGAAAGCAUUAAGUAUCCCACCUGGGAAGUACGACCGCAAGGUUG
rnacentral:rRNA from 1 species